rnacentral:lncRNA from 1 species
CUUUUAUGUGCUGGCAUUGUGACAUCGUCACAGAGCCUGACACUUAUGCACUCAACAUUCAUCAAAUAUUUCACUCAUCAAAUAUUCAUUAAGCUCCUUCUGUCUUCCAGGCCUGGCACAAGAUACGGAUGUAAUAUAAUGGAGAAACAGACUGGUACUUGCCCUUAGGGGCCCUGCAGUCCAGUGCCCAGGUCAACAGGAGUGUCCUUCUGCAGAGGGAUGGGAGCAAAUGCUUCAGGCUCUGUGAGCCAUGGGGUCUCUGCUGCAGCUCCCAUGGUGUGUAAGCAGCUCCAGCUCCAGCUAUUGUGUAAAAGAAUCUCUGGAGGAUCCUUGCAAUGGAGGAUUUGAAAUUGUAUUGGGGAGCAACAACAGUCACUCCUCCAAGUCACCAGGUGUCGCUGGUGUGCCAAAGCGGCGAAGUGUCAGAGUCAAAUUUUCCAGCUGGGUGUCUACUGGAAUCCAUCAGUCCUGUUUCUUCCUCAGCCUGGCUGUUUUGGAUCUACUAAAUCUUUUGAAUUUAGGCUCAGAAAUCAGUGUAUGCAAAAGUUCCUACAUAAAACCAUUCAUUCUUUGGGGUGGGGGGAUUGGUGUGUGGGGAUUGAUGCUGCAGUUUGUAUCUCAAUUUUAGUGAAUGUUAAGGGUGCUUCUAUAGCUGCAGCAAGUCUUUGGGAAGUGGGACCAUCACUGUGUCUAAUAAAAAAAAAAGAUUGAAUCCCAGAGUGGCAAGGAACGUAACAUCACCUAACACAAAGCUGUGUCUAGGGGCUGGGUAUCUUAAUUCUGUAGCUCAUAAAGUUCUGGAAACUUUCAGGAACGCUUUAUGCAUCUCCCUCCAAAGACUGAAAGACAUGCGUACCAAGGAACUGGCUUAUUUAUCAGUGUACAAUCCCAUUUGUUACCAGCUCUGGGGCAGAGGUAUUCCUACUCCUCCAGCUGAGUGGUCUCCACAAGCCACUGAACAAGCCUGGUUCUCCCACAGCUAAUGGUUUAACCUGUAACAAUUACCAAGCACCUACUAUGUAUCUAACAUCUUUCCCAUCCCCUUGAACUUCUUUUUUUUUUUUUUCCCCCCCUUGAACUUCUUAUCAUUGUACUGAGAACUGGGCAUUAUUAUCUCCACCUUAUAAAUAAAGCAACUCAAAGAAGUGAAGAAAGUCAAGGUCAUAAAGCCCAAUAGGACAAAGAUUCAAGCCCUGAUUUUUCUGGCUUCCAAGUUCACAUUCCCUCUCUGCUUAUAUGGAGACCCUUGUAACUCUCCUAUUGUACUUAAAGAUUUUCAGUGACUCUCACCCACUUUAGACAUCAGCCUAAAAAAAAAAAGUCCCGGAUGUUUUUCAAGUCGAAGUAAGCUCUACUAAUAUUAUUUAAUACCUUAUAAAACUCUCCAAAGUAUAGAGGUUUGAAGGAAACAGACUAUAGAGCAGACUCGAUGCCCAAGCCAUUGCUUUUUCUGCUGGAACUCGAAGAACCUUAUAUACAUUUGCCUGUGAGUAGGUCUUGGAGGUCAGCAUUACUGUUAACGAAGUCUUUCAUGUUCCUGACAUUGGAGACAUUUACCAGCGUAUGGAGGUCAAGUUCGGGCAUUUGUAAUCAGCUAAUAAAAGACGUGUGUGCUCAGCCACAUGGGAAAUCUAUGAAUAUUAUCAAAUAACAAUGUAGAGUAUAAUUAAGGUUGAGCUAUUAAGUACUAAUUAAUUAAGCUGUCAGAUUUUAAUCAAGGAAUUGAUUGUUUCUGUACAGAGUCUCUGAUGGUUCUGCAUCUUUGUAAAGCUCUGGAACCCCGAUUUGUAAAGAUUAACAAAUUAAAGGGCUACGCUGCAGCUCUUAUGGCCUUGGCAAGAGGAAGUGAGUUUUUCUGCCUUCUAGACAGUGUGGCCCCAACACAUUUUCUGAUGCUUACAAAAAGUCAAAAAGGAAAGUGGGCUAUGUGGGGUGGGGCCACACUCAAAGUUGUAAUUAUGCUGGUCACCAUUCAUAUUGAAAAUAAAAUUCUUGAGUACCUACUCUGUGCUUUUAAAUAGAUUGUCUCACUUUAUCUUUAAAACAACCCAUUUUACAGGAGGGGAAACUGAGUCUUAGAGAGGUUGAUGGGUGCUACCCAGGGUCCUAUCAGCAAGGCCAAACUUCCGCCGGGUCAGGAAGGUGGCUUUGAGUUUGUACUCCCUGUGUUGCCAACCUC